AUUUCAGUGAAACAGUUUGCUUAAGUGAUUGGCCAUAGGUUAGGCUCUGAACAUACAACCCUUUGUCUCUUUUUUAAAUCUUGGAAACAGAAUGAUCCUUCAUUUGAAACUAUUGCUGCAUUCAUGACUGUUCACUUUGUGUCUUGUAUUUUUAUCAUACUUCUUGACCGUUACAGGGAUUAUGCUAUUUAAAACUAUGAAUAAGGUGAGGGAUGCCUCUACUGGCAAACAUUUCAAUGAUGUAUUUUUUGAUGACUUUGUGUUCUUUGAUGGUGCUACUGCUGUAAUAUUCAAAAGGCUAGGGGGAUAGUAUAAGUUGUUAGAGCCAGAGGAUUGAUUCUGCCUUAGAAAAAUCUCAUUUAAAAAAAUCCAGGAGUUCCAUAGACACAUGCAUACAUGAUGACUCCCCAACAAAUGGAAUAUUGUUCAUCCUGCAGCACCUGGCUUUCAAAUACUAUUCUGUUCUUGAACAGGAAAGAUCUGUCUAGUCAUUGUGGGAAGUAGCAAUCUGGUUCAGCUGGAUCUUGCGUUGAACUGUUUUUUCUCUAUUCAGUUGAAUGUGUAAAGGUGAGCCAAGGAUUACUGGAUCUGGUGAAUGUGUAACGGGCUGGGUUAGAAGAUCUGCUGCCCUAAAUAUGGCUUAUUCAUACGUGUGAAAAGUGGAAGACACUAUCUAGAACAAAGACAAAUUUCCUUUUUCUUGUGCUCACAGACACUCUUCAUUACACACACGAGCAGUUCUAUAGCGCAAGGAUUUUUAGAAGUGGUAAGGAAUGUGGGUCUUUAAGUUAUGCAAGAAACAAAAUGAAAGUACUGUGUCCCAUUCCCAUGAUGUGACCAUAUGUAUAUAAAUCACAUUUUCCUUUCAAAGUACAGUAUAUGGCAACCAGGAGAGGAUUAGCACUCUGCAUGUGAAUACAUUAAAGGGAAGAGUAAUAUAUACAUGAAUGUGGUCUUUGUAACUGAUACAAUAUGUUUUGUACUUUACUUAAAUAUCUUGGCUUACAUCAUUUCUCAUGAAAAGUGGUCUAUAACAUAUGUCCAUAAACCUGAAGGUAUGCUUCCUCAGCUUAGGGCUAUAACUUGUUUAGCAUUUUCCCACAUUUGGGAAAAAGAAAACUUAGCUGUUUGUCUGCUUAUAAGAAAAUUAUUUUCCCUCUUUGAAAAAUAAUCCAUUAACAGAGGGAUGUGUGUGUGCAUGUGUGUUGUGUCAUUUGGCAGAAAAUAGUCAUGUGUGCCUGCCCUGUAAAGGAUGGGAGGGUAACAGUUCCCAAAAUGCAGCAUGUGGCUAACAACCAAAAAAUUGCAAACUAGGAAUGUUGAGAGUUGGAAGUCCAACAAAUGGAAAGCACAAGCUUGAGAAAGACUGAUGUACAGUGUAUAUAUAUAAAGGCCUGACCAUUUGUACUAUAGCUUUAUUUAAAGUUUGCUUUCCUUUUUCAUCUUUGCUUCUAGAUAUCAGCAUGAUGCUUCUCACCAGUGAUUCUAAAGCAGUUUAUUUUGGAAAGUAUGAACGUCAACCAGAUUCCGUCUUCCAUGUACCAGUGUUGUAACUAUUAACUCUUUCUGGCCCUACAAAAUAAUAUAACUUUUAAUCAGUUUCCUAAAAGGCAGUGGUGACCUUUUGGAGCUUGGAUGACCAGCAUGGUGCCUAUGACUUCCACCCAUGCCUCACUGUUUUGAUUCCAUAUUGAGAAAUCCACCUUCUUAAGUCCAUGUGGCAUGUUGUUACCCUUCAGUACUAAGCCCUGAAAGGCAAAUCUCCCAUCUCCAGGGUUCUGCCAUAGUACUUCCUUCACAGAUAGUAGAAUGAGCUGGCUUCCAAAGUCUAAGAAAUUGAGUGCUCCUGAUUUAGGAAUAUAUUUCCUGAUAUGUUUCACAAAAACUCCUUGUUAGCAAAAAAGGAUUCUAUUCCUUGGAGGCUUUGGUGUUUUGAAAACCAGAAGGUAAGAAUAUUGGGGAUGACCAAUUUUCACGAAAGUAUCAUUCAAGGAAGUGGUAAUGGCCAAACACAGGAACUAACUUGUAAGAACUUGUAACACCUUUCAUAAACAUUUUGCUUCGAACAUGAUGGAAAACUGGGUAUGAAAGAAAAUUAUACACUAGAUUACAUUUUGAUGACAGAAUGUAUAAUUGAUCAAGAGACAAUGCUACUUUAAAAUGUGUCUUAACACAAUUUUAAUCUGACCUCUCAAUUGUAGCUGUCCGCCCCGUGUGAUCAAGUAUAUGAAAUAAAUGUUGAUAAGACAACUUACUUUUGUAUGUACUGUAGAUGGCUGUAGCUAUUAUGUUCCACUUUGGUUUAGACACAGACUUCCAGAAGUCUUUUCUCCCCACUCCCACCUUUAAUGUUACAUCCAAUCGGUUAAUUCAUUUGCUAUUUCUGUAUAUACACAGCUGUCCCUACCGGUAGGCAGAGUGAGACAAGUGUGGAGAUGGGACCUAUUAGUAUUCACUAUAGAACUCUUAGCCAGAGAAUUCAAAUAGCAUAGAAGGGGAGAAGGUGGCAGGUCAAGGUUAUUAAGCAAAUUUAGUCAGUCUGAGAGAGAACCAAACCAUCUUGAGCACAGCGGUGGGGUGGCAGGACACACUGUAGAACAAAGGGGAGGGAAGUGAAUUCCUAGAUGCAGCAAGCUGUACCAAGCCAAAUGGGUGUACUAGUUACAUAAUCUCAACAACAUAACAUACCUGUUGUUUUGCCCACAAGCAGUGUGAACUAACUUGAGCACAGUCAAAACUCUGGGAAAAGGAAGAGAGGAAGGGGACACUCCACUUUGGAAUCAACUCUUCACAUGGGCAGAAGAUACUCCCACAGGUUGGAGGAGGGAUCAUUACUUUGAUUUAUGCAACUUGUUAAUGGCUCUCAAGAAAAUGCCCUGUAUCAUAGCAAAACCUGUUAAGCUCCAAUAAAGGAUUGUAUUUUAUGAGCCUGAUGAAUCAUUUUGGUCUGCUGGAAAGGAAUGUGGUGAGGAGAGAAACAUGUUGGUGAUGGGUUUUGCAAGCAGUGGAUUGGAGCAGGGUAGAGAUCAGCAUGGAGCUGCUCAAGGACAGCUGCAUGUGUGCCACACAGCCUGUCUUAACAUCUCAUAAAGUAAUCUGCCUACAGAUGGCAAUGGAGGUUGCUGUCCCAUCACUAGUGCUGAAGUAGGAUGCAGAUUUCAGUCUGGUCAGUGUCUGUAUGCAGAAUAGGGAGACAUCACCUGGGGCAGCAAAAUGGCCUGGACAAGCCCUCUGGAUAUCUUCAGGUUUUCUGAAAGAUUGGCUCAUUCUCUACUGAAGCCUUCUCCAACCUAGUACCUUGCAGAUGUGUUGGACUGUAACGCUGACCAGUCCCAGGCAGAGAAUGAUAGGGCCUUCAGUCCAACACAUCUAGUGAGCACCACUUUGAGGAGGCUGUUCUCCUGAGAAUACAGUAGUGCUAGCAUGGUAUUUUAUAGUGUGUGUUGACUGCAUUGGAUUCCAGUGUUGAUUAUAACAACUGUUGCCUGAUUGCAGAAGUCUACUUGCCUAAUAAAUGUUCAGGUCAUGUUUUGUUUUGAAAAUUUAAAGACAGUCAUACUGUUUGAAGGCUUUGCAAAUGUCAGUGAAAUAAAAUCUGAAUGUGGUGACUUCCUUUUUUGGUACAUAUGGGGGGCAGUUGAAGGGCUGUAUGGUAUACCAUCAAAUUAAUUCAAAAUUCCAGUUUAAUAGUAAAGGUUCCUAAACUGCAUGUACAUCAAGCUUCAGACCAUGAAGAAGCAUCGCCCAUUAAAAAGAUUUGGCAGUUUAUGUUCCCCUGCAUGUGAGAAUGUAAAGGGUCCUGUCAAAGGUCCAUCUAGCUUAGUAACCUGCGUCUCACACUGGCCAACCAGAAUGUUUCUGAGAAGUCAAUUGCUUCCUUCCAAUGUUGUCCCCCAGUAAUUGUAAUCAGAUAAAGAAGCAUUAUGGUUAUCAUUACUAAUAGACUUUGAUUUUUUAAAAAUCAUCUAUCAACUAGUCUCAUUCCAUUCUGAAGCCAGCUAAACUAGUGGUUGUCAUUGCAUCUUGUGCAGUGGAUUCUAUACAUUUAAGUUCUGAAUGCAGUAAGAAAUACUUUCUCUUGUCUGUCCUUAAACUAUUACAGUCAGUUUCAUUGGCUGAUCCUGUCUUGUCCUAUGUGCAAAGAAAUAGCUCUUUUUGAAUAUUACAAAGUAAAAACUAUGUAUGGAACACAGCACAAAAAUGAUCUGGGACACUUCCUUUAGAAUUCCUACUAGCAGAUUCCCUGUUUUUGCAGCCAAAAUAUACUGCAGAGUAAUUACUACAUUUCGGUCCAAUGGGUUGAUGGUAAAUGGGUUUAAUAGUAAAUAAAUAUUUCAUUUAUUUGUGUAGCAGUUUUGACUGAAGAUUUUGUGUGCAUCUAUCUAUAAGCUUUGGUGUAGUGCAGACUUCCCCAACCUCGUGGCUUUUUAAUUUUCUGGAUUGGAACUCCUAGAAUUCUUUAGGAUUAGCUGGGGCUGAUGUGAGAUGAAUUCCAGCUAAUCUGGAGGGCACCAGAUUAGGAAAGGGUGAUGAAGUGGUAAGUUUCAACUGCAGUGUGUAUGUAUAUAUAAAAUACUUGUGUGUGCCUGUGUUAGGUAAAAAUACUCGUAAGUUCUUUCCCUAGAGAAAUCAAGUUGAUAGAGGCAUCUCAAGGAGGAGGCUGAACACAAUUGUAGGGCACUAACCUCAGAGCUUUAUUCAGGUACAACAGCUGAGGGGUGGGUGCCUCUGGCUUGAGCUGCAACAAGGUUCCACACCCUCCCUUUGUGUUAGUAGAUUAUUAUACUGUGUUGAGGGUCCACAUCCCCACACGGUCAACAAGUAGUCCAGCUUAACCCACCCAGCCAUCCCACGUCUUAUGUAUGAUCUCUGUUCACCCCAUCUUGAUAAUUGUUAGGCUGCAUUUUUUCCAACACCUAUUGUGUGUACACUCAUGCACACACACAAGAGCAGCAGUGCAUACCAGAAUGCCCAAUCUAUUAGGAAUACCAAGGCUGCAAUUUCAUAUUAGCAUAUUUGGGAGUAAGUUCCACUGAACUCAGUGAUUCUGUUUUCUGGCUGCAUAAGUCCAACCUGUAAAACACAUUCAAAUUUAAACAAACAAUCUUGUGCUUUUAAGAUGUGCUGCUUCCUUUCUGGAGAAAAAGUUGAGAUCAGACAUUUCCAUCUUUUCUCUUGCUCCCCACUCUCUCCCUCCCACCUUGCCCAGAGAACUACAUUGCCAAGGCAGCAUAUUAUUAUUAUUAUUAUUAUUAUUAUUAUUAUUAUUAUUAUUAUUAUUACAUCCAUGUAGCAUUUCAACACUGCAUUGUACAGAUUGGAUGAUGGUUUUAGAUGUUUGACUUUAUUCAAAUUAUCUAAGCCCCUAUAUUCUCCUAGAAGAGGUCAAGGUCACUGCCACUUCAGGUCACAUCCUUCCAUUUGCCCUUAAAAUUUAAACACUGUUUGAAAAUAAAUAGCAGGUGUAAGAUCCCUGCUCCACAUGAACCUUCAGGCAGUUCUGGCUACAGUUUCUGAGGGCCUCAGUCAAUGCAUCUAUGUACCUUCUCACUACCAUUGUCAGUAGCUGCUAUUGCUCCUCUGUUCCACAGCAUUGAUACCGGCUGCUUGGCUGCUGGGCAGAGUGCCAAAGAAGAUGCAGAUUGUGGCAUCUGCUGCUCCUCAGUCUCGCCACUGAGAUUGUCCAGGCCAGAGCACAAAGUGGGUGAACAAGCUGAUUCAAAGAGGGAGAAGCAAAUCCAGGGGGCUUUUGUCAGUGGGUGCCUGCUGGGAUAUCAGUCCUCAGUGGGUGCCCAACCAUGCCUAUUCUUGGGUACCUACUGUCAGUCUGCAAAUCAACUAUGACUGCUAAGAGAGAGAUCCAGAAUCUCAUGUAUCCCUUUCACUUGUACCUCCUAGAAAAAAAAAGAACUUGGCCUGAAGUGUCACAGUGUUCUUCCACUGUUCCUCUGUAUGAAUAGGCAGGCUGUUAGAAAGCAGUGGAACUUGUCUUGUAUGAACUUACUGACAGUCAGGCCAUCUCAUGUAAACAUGCAGUAUUGUUGUUUUUCUGUGUAUAGUAAACAGUCUGUGGUAGAGUACAACAGAUAGUUAAUUUUUUUUGCUUCCUGGUAAUGUAUUUCUCAAGCAUAGUGGCAGCACUAGGUGUACAGAUUCUUCUCCCUCUUUAUGUUCCAACAGUUUGUUUUUUAAAAAAUAAUUUGUAGACCAUCUUGAUGCCAUAAGGAUCUCAAUGCCAUUUACAGAACAAAUUUUAACACCAUCCAAAGCUGUAACAAAAAUUAAGAACAAAGCAUUAGACACCUCCAAAAUAAUAAAAGCCAUCUAACAAAUAUUAACUAACAAAUGCACAGUAGAACUGAAAUAUCUUGGCAGUCUGCUGGAAGUUAAGCAAGGAGCUAAGGAGGGAGUUCCACAACUGAGAUGCUUCCACAGAAAGGGCCAUGUCCCAUGUUGCAACCAUCUGCUCCAAAUGUGCCAUACAAACCAUGCAGAGAUGGCUCCAGGUUUUGGGGCACCUAGGCCAAUUGUUCUAUGAGAUCCUCUACCUCAGUGAGCUCACCUGAUUGUCUUCAGAUCAGUCUGUACCAGCUCCCAGGAAGGAAGGAAGGAAAAGGCGUGAGGGUGGGGAUUGUAUGGAGACUGCUGCUCUUUCUUCUUGCUUUGUUUAUUUAUUUGCCAACUUUUCCCUUCCCAGGAAUUCAUGGUGACUUAUGUAAUUCUCCUCUACUCAAUCUUCACAACAAAAACUCUGUGAGAUAAAUUGGGCUGAGAGCCUGUGGGUUCCAUGACUGAGUGGGGACUAGAACCCAGAUUGCCUGAGUCCCAGUCCUGCACUCUUAACCACCACACCACAUUGGCUUUUCUCUUGCUGCUUGCUUACAUGUUUAAAUUUUAUUUAUUAUUAACAUUACUAUACUGGCUUAUUUGCAAACAAAGCUAUCAAGGUGGAACACAAUAAUGUAUAACUUUAAAAUGUUUAAAAAUAUGAAAACAAUAAUGAAAUAGUUAAAUGAACCAGAUACGUAAUUUAAGAGGUCAAAUUAACAAAAUGUUUCUUCAUCCCCUUGCUAAAAGCCAACAGAGUGGGGGUUUAGUUUAGUUACUAUUACUGUAACACCAACAGUUUUAGUGUUGCACAAGACAAAGCCCUUUUAUGGCAAUGCUUAACACAACAGCAUCACCCUUCAUGGAUGCUUGUUACUAGAAAUUAUGAAGAAUUCAGCCUUUAGGUUGUUUCUAAAAAUUAAAAGAAUGGAUUUUUAUAUUAAGUGAAUGGGAUCUUGAGGAAGAACAAACCAUUUGUAAUUGCUGCUUGAUUUUAAAAUCUUCACUUUCCUGUCUCUUCAAUCUAUUGUAUACCAAACCUGUCUAGGGAGAAAGUCACGUAUCAAACAAAAUCUAGUUUUGACAGGCUACUGGUGACACAAACGUGUUGGAUCUGUGUGCUACUGCAGCAACCCAAACAAGCCUAAAACUGUAACUCAGUGAGUCUUUGUGGCACAGACAGAGUCUUCUCUCCUGUUGAUUUGUUCCAGUUCUAACUCAGAAGGGACCCCCUUUGCAGACUGAGGCCUCUUUUGUUGUCUCCUGUGAUUCUAUAACAUGCCAACCUUCUUUUCUUGCAAGGGGAGUACAGCUGAGGGCGAAGAACAGUUGUUGCUGGCAGAAGAUCAGCCAGAUUUGAUUGAAUCUCUCAAUCCCCAGUGCAAUGAUUAUAGGAGCUGCUCACAGAGAAGGACUUUCCUCCAAGAGAAGGAAAAAGAACAACUGUCCAUGCAUGAGAGCCUGGAUUAUUUGCCUUCACACAGUAGUGUUUACAAGAAGUGGCUUCAGGGGCAAACCUACAGAAUGGACUGGGAUCGGUGGUUGAUGAUGGGCAUCAUUGGAAUAGCAGUAGGAACUCUGGGUUUCCUGAUCCAUCAAAUAAUUGAUUAUCUCAUCAAACUGAAAUGGGAACUGGUGGAGAAUUAUAUUCAGAAAGGCAGUUUUCUCAUGACUUGGAUCUGCAUACUUGGAAUUGGACUGGUUAUGAUAAUUUUAUCCUCAGGACUGGUUGUGUUCUUUUGUCCAACAGGUGCACCAAGUGGAUUGCCAGAAGUCAUUGGCUUUCUGAAUGGAACUUCUAUUCAGCAAAUUUUUAAUUUCAGGACUUUUGUGGGAACAUUUGGCUCAUGUAUUUUAGCUGUGGCAUCUGGACUUUUCUGUGGACCAGAAGGUCCUAUGAUUCAUUUGGGUGCAAUAAUAGGGUAUGGACUGAGCCAGUUCAAAGUAACAGUCCUUGGAAGUCAUCUCCCAUCCUUUACCCGAUUUUGGAAUACAGCUGACAAGAGGAAUUUUGUUACGGCUGGUGCAGGGGCAGGAAUCGCCUCUGUAUUUCAUGCUCCAGUGGGUGGACUUCUGUUUACACUGGAGGAGGUGGCUUCUUUCUGGGAUAUCCAAUUGGCAUGGCAAACGUUCUUCUGCUGCUUGACGGCUGCAUUUACUACAGAUUUACUCUCUUCUUCCCUCUGUGGGUUCGUCUACAGGGGUCAGUUUGGAUUUUUCAAAGCAGAGAAGAGGAUUUUGUUUUGGGUUAAGAACUUACUGGAUAUGAGUGUGUUGGCUUUUGUUCCAGCCAUUUUCCUUGGAAUACUUGGGGGUCUUCUAGGAGCAUUCUUUGUUUUCCUGAAUAUAAAGAUUAAUAAAUUACGCAUGUGGUUCUUCAGCACAAUCCCAAAAACAUCCAUCAGAAAAAUAGGCAAGCUCUUAGAAUCAGUGCUUGUCCUUUUUUUGACCAUUACUGCUACUGUCUACUUGCCGUACUUCUUUCACUGUACUCCAGUCAAGAAGUUGGCAACAUUUGAUCCUGCUAGUAAGUCACAAAACUUAAGUCAUGCCAGCUGGCAAAUUUCAGAAUAUAAUUGUGCACCCGCAAUAUCACACACUGGGUCAAAUGAAGUGAAAUAUUCCAACCAAACCUUUAAUGAAGCUGCUGCACUAUUGGCUGAGAGUGGUAUGAGAGGAAUCACGUACCUUUUCAGACGUGGGACUCACAUGGAAUUUGGAUACAGCUCCCUUUUUACAGCACUGCUAUUCUACUUCUUGUUGUCCUGCUUGACUGCAGGAUCUGCUGUUGCAAGUGGUUUGGUUAUACCAAUGCUGUAUAUAGGAGCAUUAUAUGGCAGGAUCGUUGGACUGAUAUUGAUCUCCAUUUUUGGAGUUCAGGCUGAUGAACAUGCUGCAUGGGUUGAUCCAGGACUAUUUGCUGCUGUUGGAGCUGCUUCCUUCUUCAGUGGGGUUUCAAGGCUAACCAUCUCCCUUACUGUUAUAAUGGUAGAGAUCACAAAUGAUGUACAGUCCUUGCUACUUAUAAUGUUGGCUGUCAUGGUAGCCAAAAUGGUUGGUGACUGGUUUAACAUGUCUCUGUACAGUUCUUUACUGAAGCUGAAAUGCAUUCCUUACUUAGAUGCUGAGCCAGUUGUUUGCCAUAGGAAAAAAUGGUUAAACUUGGAACUGUUUACUGCCAGAGAUGUCAUGAAGCUUCAUGUCAGAGUUCUCCAUUUAAAGGAGAACAUAGCUUUCCUGGCUCUGCUUCUUGCUAGCACCAGCCAUAGUGGAUUCCCAGUCAUUUACAAAUCUAAGCCAGAUCAGGCAGAGGUUUUCCUGGGGACAAUUACUAGGCUUGAGCUGUGUGUGCUACUGGAAAAUGAAACCAUCUUUGAAACUGAGGAUGUGGAAGACUCUGAAUCCUGCCCAUCUCUUCUGUCCUACCAGAAGAUCAGAGUUGAAAAAUUGCCUGAUCAGCAGAGAAUGGCUGCUAUAUUAGGUUGCUACAGUACAGAUCCUCGAUAUCAGCAACUGUUCAUCAAUCUGGAGCCAUAUAUCAACAAAUCAGCAAUGUCAAUUCAGGCUCACUUCUCCCUGCAGCGCACAUAUACCAUCUUCCGGUCUCUGGGUCUUCGGCACCUGACGGUUGUUGAUUUACAGAACCAGGUUGUUGGACUAAUCACCAGGAAAGAUCUGAUAUCUUUCCAGCUGGAGGAGAAGCUGGGGCUCCAAGAGGCAUCACAGCAGCCUCACUCCGAUGAUGAGCUUUUAGACUAGGAAGCAAUCUGCAUGGGGAAUGAGGACGUGUCUCAAGGUUUCGUUUUACUUUUUAGGAAGAUAUGCUGCAUGUUCAUGAGCAUCCUUAGCUGUGCUGUCUCUGACAGACAAGCUCUCAAACUAAAAUGUAAGGGUCUGAUGCCUUGGGCAGUCUUCUCUGCAAAACUUCACAGUCUUCUCAGUUAAUUGUAUGUAUUUGUGUUUAUGUACACGGAUUCGGUCUGUGCAGUGUUAGUUAAAAGAAGCUGGAUGGACUUAAACGCUUGCAACAUCUUUUUGACCAAGCAUAACUGACAGCGACAGAACCUCUCAAUCCAUAGAGGAAACACAGAGCAUUUUCAGUUAGAGAAUACAAUGGUUUGGGAUGGCCCCUGGAGCAUGACACAUUUCUUUCCAUCUGCUCAUUGCCGACAUGCCACAGCUCAUUCCUCCAAAGUGAACCUCCCUCGGCAGGUUAGUUCAUGAGGAUACAAUCAUCUACUUUAGCAUCAAGUUUAUUGCCUUCAGCAAAGUAAUGCUGACAUGUGGUGUUGGUGAAAAUGCCAAACUGAAGUACACUGUCAAAGAAGGGUGCAGAAUUUCCUGCUGUUUUUGGCCUCAUUUCUUUUUAAUUCAGAGUGAGCCUUUUAAAGGAUGCUAUCAUGCCCCUGUUUUAUGUGCCUUUGGGUGUUCUUUCUGUAGCUUUUUUAUUACUAAAUGUUUGAAUUACUUGAAGCCUGAAAACCAGCUGCUAGUAGAAACCACUAGAUGCCACUCUUUCCAACAUGUUCACAAAUCUUCACACAACUUGCUUAAUGAACUGAAAUGAGUCACAUGCACAGCCCACCGUGUUUGAAUAGAACUGUAGCACCACAGUACUGCAAAAAUGACCUCAGUAGAUGUUUAUCGUUUUUGGAUCAUUUUCAGUAGUUUUCUGCCAAGCUAAAAUACGAUACAAGUAGGACUAAUGUCUAGGGGUAUGAUACUCAAAGCCUCCACUUGCUUAACCCUUAAAAGGCUUUAAAAAAGAACAUUAUUUAAAUAGGAUGGUUUUGCAGUUUAAGUUUGUUCAUUGUUUCUGAAAGAGCAACUUGUUAUUCCAUUCCUCAGGGGGAAAAAGUGAGUGAAUUGAAACAGCAAGCCAGUAGCACAUCUGCUGACCAUUUGUUGCUCAUUGGUUCAUGGUUCCUUCUACAUCAGCCUGUGUCAAGUCUAUGGCUAGCAAGUGCAACACUGCAAAGCAAGCUGUCGAUCUGAGAUUUCAUGGAUAUCACAGAUUGCCAUUAUCCAACCUCUGUUAUCUGAUGUCUCAAUCCAACAGGAGAAAAAGAAUGACUGUCAAAAUCUCAGAGGGGUGGGAAUGCAUGACAGUAGAAGCAGCAGCAGAACCCACUCACAAUUCCCGGCAUAGGAGUUAUACUGCAAAGAUGGCUGGAGUACUUGCGGUUGACUAAUGGCUACUAUGUUCUGUGUAGCUUAAAAGGCUUGCUUCCAACUAUGUAAACAUCAGUUGGCCUAGAUAAAGGUUGCAGAUAAGCUUGGUUUGAGAUGGAUGAAAGAGGGAAGAACCACAGCCUUGAUUCAUGAGAGGGAAGGCUGCAGCAGAACAUUAUGGCAAGAAUAGUGCAAUAAUGGAACCAUUUACUGACAGUUUUGGGUACUAUGCAUUUUCUUUUGCUAUGCUGUCUCCAAGAGUGGCUCAGGCACAAGAAUAAGGUGACCACAUGGGUGCAUGCUGCAAUCACUUUAACUUGGAAGAACCUUUUGGGAAAACAUUUGUGCACUUCUGUAAGAGGGGGCUUUCCCAGUGUGAAAUGUAAACAUUGUCAGGGAAGUAAACAGCAUAUACUCUUCCCACCCAAGCUGCCUGAUGUACAGAUGUGGAUCCCAAGGAUUAACAUGCUUCUGGGAAUAUUAACAAACUGAAGGGUGGUGGAAGGCAGGGGGAAACAGGAUUCUUCAUGUAGAAAAAAUGGAGUGGGAACAGAUCCGUUAUGCACCCAUGGGGCAGGAUGAGGUCACGUUACUGGUCAAGCAUCCCUCUGUGCUGAAGAAAUUCCUCUCCAGAUCCUCAGAACAGUCCGCACAUGAUAUAUCAGGUCCCAGUGUGAAGGGUCAUGGUAUUUACAAGAUCUCCUGUGGUUUCAGAGGGGUGACCAGAAAAUAGAUUCCUGGCCCUCAGGCUGAAAAAGGAAAAAGAAAAAGAGUGGUACUGGCUUAGCCGUCUGAGAAUACAACCCAGAAGGUAUGUCUAAUUGAUUGAGAAGGCUUCAACAGCUCUGUGUAAACAGUACUUUGCACAAUGUGUUUCUUUGACUAAUUAAGUACCUUGAGGAAUGAGUUAAUCAAAAAACUAGUGUGGAGAUCCAUCAAUCUUCAGUGAUCAAUAAAAUUGCAGCUACCAAGAUUUAACAGAGAAGUCUGUGACUGGUGGAUUUAGGUCUAAAUUGUCAACAUUAAAUGUUUAAAGCUAGGUUCCAAAGUCCAUAUUUAGCUUUACAAAUUAAUGGUCAGAUUUCUCUGAAGUAUUUAACAUGGUAAAACUCUUACUCAAGAACUGCUGGAUACUAAGAAUAUGAAAAAUGAGGCCUCUUGCCAAGUGCCUAAGCAAGGAAUGUUAAGACUGUGGCUGGUGAUUAUUAGACAUGUAAAUACCCAGUUUGAGUCACCAGAACUGGGGGUGAAAAGAAACCUCUAGCUCGAAUAUUUCUAAAGAUGGGUUUAGAUUGCAAUUCUGUUUCUUGUACUCUGGUGUUCAUUAACAUUGAUAGUCUGUGGUAAGAUUACAAGGAAGUGCAUCAUGUAAUGCAUGAUGCCUUACUGAAUGUAUGUUGGACUUCAGUUCUGUUUGCUUAUUAUUCUGUCUCCUUUUUCUUGAAUGAGCUCAGGAUAAUGUUCAUGGUUGUCUUCCAACUUUAUCAGAAUCCUGUGAAGUAGCUUAGGCUGAUAGAUAAUGAUAUAAUGCACAUUGGAUAAACUUCAUGGUUGCAUUAGGAUUUGAAUCCAGGUCUUUCCAUUUCCAGCCUGUUAGCUCUCAUUUAUGAUAAUCCUGACAGAUGCUUGAAUUGGCCUACUGUUCUUCUUAAUCAGAGGUAGGGAAGCUUUUUCAGGCUGAAGGCUGAAUUCAAUUUUGGAGAGACUCUUGGGCUGAAUUCCAGUGUGGGUGGGACAAAAGACAAAGGGACUGGGGGCAGAAGCAAAAAGGAUGGGGCCCAAAAUAUACCCUGCCCCCCAGCAUAUUAUAACUUAAAGCUCUUACUACCAGUCAUUGAGCCUUAGCAGAGUCAUUUUAGCAUGGAGAAAAUACUGCACAAAAACUAGGAAAUCACCAAAAGAUCAAUGGCUAGAGGAAAGAGGUUGGGCUGGGGAGGCAACAUGGUCAUUUGAAGGAAACCAGAGGGCUGUCUUUGGCCCCCACAAGGGCCUGUUUACUAACCCAUGAUGUACAUUCAUCUAAAUCAUGUAGCUGUGAUUCUGCUAGUGCUAUUGUGUGAAGAACUAUCCCAUGCCAGACUGUAUCAGUCUGAGGAAGAACAGUACAAUACAGUACAGAAACCAGAUGGACUAACAGUUCAGACUGUAUAAGUACAGUGCCUUCAACUGCCCAGGUGCAGAGUGCAGAUGGGGCGAACCAAAUAUGAGCAACAUUUCUGAUGUGUCAUUGACCUAUUGAAUCAUGAAUUGAAAAUGUAGCUUCAAUUCCCAUUACUUCAACAUCUGAAUGCUUACUUUGUUUUCUUUCUUAAAUAUAGUUUUAUAGCUUUAUCAUGAACCCUGAGGUUCAAACCACUUAUUUAAAUGGUAACUUGAGUCUUGAUAAUUUAUUUUCUUGUCAUGAAAACAUUCUCAGUGUUGAUAGGAUAACUCAAAUAAUUUGUUUCCUUAACAGAGUUGAUGUUGAUAGAUUCACAAUAUUUUUCCUUAAAAAAAAGCAAAACAAAAACAAAAAACCCUUGCAGAGAAGCAGCUUUUGUAAAUUGCAGGCCAGUAAAUAUAGCCACCCAAGUCUGGCACAUCAUCAACAGCCUCUAAUAUUUUUAACUUCUUUUGUGUAAGAUCACAAAAGCUCUAGACUGAACCAACCGGAUGUUUUGUAACUUUGCUGUAUUACCUAAUAUUAUUGAUGCAGAUUAGAUGUCAUUCAUCUGCAGGUGUCAAAAGCAUAUCAUUGGACACUGUACAACUAUUGCAAAUAGUUUAAUUUGUGUAUUCAUGUCCAAUUUAGUAACAGAUAUUGCUGGGCUUAAGGUUAGGUUAAAAUAGUGCAUUGCAAAAGUAUCUGUUAUUUCAAUGGGAAAUUAUGAGACAUAUUCUCAGAAAACA